GUAAUCAUAUGUGGGAUGUGGCUACGGAGAGAAGGGAUAAGAAGCUGGUCGAGAAAUUGUAUGAUGAGAAGAACUAGUUCAGGUUGCUUUGGCCAUGGUAUUGUGAUUUCAAGCAAGCCAGAGGACAGGACUUUCACAGCCCCAUCAACUAUAGCUGAAUUAGAUACGGAAUUACUGGAACCAAUAAAAAACUAAAGGUGUAUCUAAAAAAGUUUUAUAACCUGAGCAGAAAGCGAAGUUUUACAAUUUGAGAAGGUGAGGAUUAGAAUGAUGGAUUGAACAAAUUUACAUCCAGGGUCCCAAAGAAGAAUGGUAUGCUGGGGGAGCACUUGCGAUUGCAGUUAUGCUAGUGACAGGAAGUUACGAUGAAAGAUAAAACUGCUGGUAGUGGUGAUUUUCCAGUGCUAUAUAUCAAAUUGGUUGCUCUUCAUAUCAGCUUGAGCAUGUUUAACUUCAAAGUAUGAAUGCUAAAUGGAGAUUGUUGGA